rnacentral:rRNA from 1 species
AUCGCCCUACGGGGGGCAGCAGUGAGGAAUAUUGGUCAAUGGGCGAGAGCCUGAACCAGCCAAGUCGCGUGAGGGAGUACUGCCCUAUGGGUUGUAAACCUCUUUUGUCAGGGAGCAAUUGGCGCUACGUGUAGCGUUAUCGAGAGUACCUGAAGAAAAAGCAUCGGCUAACUCCGUGCCAGCAGCCGCGGUAAUACGGAGGAUGCGAGCGUUAUCCGGAUUUAUUGGGUUUAAAGGGUGCGUAGGCGGAAUGCCAAGUCAGCGGUAAAAUCGCGGGGCUCAACCUCGCUCCGCCGUUGAAACUG